rnacentral:rRNA from 1 species
UACGUAGGGUGCAAGCGUUAUCCGGAAUUAUUGGGCGUAAAGAGCUCGUAGGCGGUCUGUCGCGUCUGCUGUGAAAACUCAGGGCUUAACCCUGAGCUUGCAGUGGGUACGGGCAGACUAGAGUGCGGUAGGGGAGACUGGAAUUCCUGGUGUAGCGGUGAAAUGCGUAGAUAUCCGGAGGAACACCGGUGGCGAAGGCGGGUCUCUGGGCCGUAACUGACGCUGAGGAGCGAAAGCAUGGGGAGCGAACAGG